rnacentral:rRNA from 1 species
UGGGGAAUUUUGGACAAUGGGCGAAAGCCUGAUCCAGCAAUGCCGCGUGUGUGAAGAAGGCCUUCGGGUUGUAAAGCACUUUUGUCCGGAAAGAAAUCCUCUGGGUUAAUACCUCGGGGGGAUGACGGUACCGGAAGAAUAAGCACCGGCUAACUACGUGCCAGCAGCCGCGGUAAUACGUAGGGUGCAAGCGUUAAUCGGAAUUACUGGGCGUAAAGCGUGCGCAGGCGGUUUUGUAAGACGGAUGUGAAAUCCCCGGGCUUAACCUGGGAACUGCAUUCGUGACUGCAAGGCUAGAGUAUGGCAGAGGGGGGUAGAAUUCCACGUGUAGCAGUGAAAUGCGUAGAGAUGUGGAGGAAUACCGAUGGCGAAGGCAGCCCCCUGGGCCAAAUACUGACGCUCAUGCACGAAAGCGUGGGGAGCAAACAGGAUUAGAUACCCUGGUAGUCCACGCCCUAAACGAUGUCAACUAGUUGUUGGGGAUUCAUUUCCUUAGUAACGUAGCUAACGCGUGAAGUUGACCGCCUGGGGAGUACGGUCGCAAGAUUAAAACUCAAAGGAAUUGACGGGGUCAUAGCUGUUUCC